UCCGAUCAUUUUCAAGUCCCGAACCCUUCUCCCAAGUACUCCUCAUCUCGCGCGACCUUCUCCAUCCAACUCCUCUCCGGCAAACUCCUCUCCAGCAAACUCUCUCCUCUCCAGCAAACUCCUCUCCGGCCCCAGCUGGGCGGAGUCCCCCGUCUCCGCCUACAUGCGCUACCUCGAAAGCUCCCUCCUCAGCUCCGACACCUCCCGCCACCCCCGCCCGCCGCUUCCCUCCCCAGGGCUGCUCCCUUCCCCGCGCCCUCCCUUCCCCUUCUCUUCCCCUUCCCCCCGAGGGCUCCAUAAUUUGGCCUCGCUUCCGCCCCUUACUCCGUCGUCCGCUUUCCCUUCUCCGAAUUCAGCCAAAUCGUGAAUUCGUCCCUGAUUAAGAGAUCUAAAUCCCUCUCCUAGCCCUAGAUCCACUCUCUCCCUCUCGCACGAAAAUCCUGCGCCACCGGCGGUUCUCUCCAACUCACGAAGCACGACGAAUUCUUUCCCUCCUUUCCCCUCCCCUGUCCCUCCCCUCCUCUGCUCGCCGCCGCGGGCCUGCGCGAGCGAGGCCAGCCACUGCCGGGCUUGAUACUGAUUUUCCCAUUCGCUUCUCCAUUCUCGCAACUCUAAAGACUACAGUUCGUCCUCCAAUGGUGCUCUUCGACGUUGGUUCCUCUCACCAGACCUCCCUCAGUCUUGUCAUCUCCUCCUCAAUACAUUCUGUUGCGCAUCAUGGUCCCUCACCAUGGUGUGCUGCUCAUGAUCUCAUCCCUUGAAAUGCCACAACUCUAGCCCACAAGAUAUAUGGCUCAUUUAUUCCAUAUAGAGGUUCACAAAUCAGACCAACCCCCUUCCCCAGAAAUCAAAGUGAUUCAAUUACAUAUCUUAGUUGGGAAAAUCUUACAUUGCCCUAUUUUGCACAAGGAGGCGCACAACCUGAUCUAGUAGUAGAUCACCAUGCACAAGGAGCAAGUCAUUCAAAAUUGAUCAAGUAGAAUGAUCUGAUCACCAUGCGCUUGGAGCACUGCUGGCCGAUGCUCUCCCCUACUACUAUGUCCCUACCCUAAGUAGCAUCCUCCGCAAUAAGCGAGAUGCACCUCCAGGUGAAAAGCCUGAGCCAGUGAGGACCCAUCUUAGGAACAUGAUAAUAGUUCCCGAGAUGAUUGGGAGCAUCGUUGGGGUCUACAAUGGAAAAACAUUCAACCAGGUUGAAAUCAAGCCCGAGAUGAUUGGCCAUUACUUGGCUGAGUUCUCCAUCUCAUACAAGCCUGUGAAGCACGGAAGACCGGGCAUUGGUGCUACCCACUCCUCCAGGUUCAUCCCCCUCAAGUAAAACUUGCAUCAGUUGAGUUAAGAAAUGUGUGACCAAGAUCCUAUUGGAGUUGCUAUUCCACUUGGGUAUUUCUUAUUCUAGGCCAGUUUGAUUUCUGAACACUAAGCGUAUGGAUUCAGUAACUACUGUACUAUUUUGAUAAACAGAUUGUUGGCUACUUCAGUAUUAAGUAUUAAGUAUUAAGUAUUCAGUAAACAGAUUGUUGGCUAAACAGAUUGUAGCUGUUCAAAACAGAUUUUUUAUGCUCUUUUAUUUUAUAUGUGAAUAUCACUAAAACAGAAUUAGUGUAAAUUUUGAUAUUUACUAA